rnacentral:rRNA from 1 species
GCCCAUGCCGUAAACAAUUAACUUAACUUACAACAAUCAGCGCCAUGUGGAAUUACGAGUCCAUGCGGAAAACCCAAAGGACUUGACGGUGUCCCACCCCUCUAGAGGAGCCUGUUCUAUAAUCGAUGAUCCCCGCUAUACCCAACCACUCCUUGCUCUCAGUCUGUAUACCUCCGUCGGUAAGCCUACCCUGUGAACGCCAUAGUGGCCCAAUGUCCCCCCUCAGUACGUCAGGUCAAGGUGCAGCUCACGGAGUGGAAAGUAAUGGGCUACAAUUUCUAACAUAGAAUAAACGAAAGGCUAUGUGAAACCAUAGUCACGAAGGUGGAUUUAGCAGUAAAAAGAAAAUAGAGUGUUCUUUUUAACUCGGCUCUGGGACGCGUACACACCGCCCGUCACCCUCUUCGAUAGCUCAACUUCACGUCUAUAACUCUCCAUCUGCGCCUUAGAAGAGGCAAGUCGUAACAUGGUAAGUGUACUGGAAAGUGCACUUGGAUCACACAAAAUAUAGCUUAA